AUCUCCAGACUUCGAUCGUUUGUUUGUAAAAGGCAUUCACUGCUUUGCUUGGUAUCAGAGUGAGUUUAACAGUUGCAGUGGACAGUACAUAGAAUACAAUAACAAGAUGAAUCCAAAGAUUUUUUUCGCAUUUUUGUUAUUACUUAUCUGUAAAGUUUAUCAGACAGUAUCGCAAGUUGUUGAUGAUAAGGGAUUACCAAACGAGCCUCCAGAGGACGAUAUACGAUACGCCCUUAAUUGAAAAUAUGACUGCGAUUUCUUUAAAUUUAUAAAUGAGAUGUUUCAUUUGAAAUUUUAAUGGAAUAAACUAAAAGUCAACGAAA